UACCUUGAAUUUCCUGUCAUCUCCUUCAGCAGUCAGCAAGAACCCAGUGGGACCAGUAGCUCGUAAUAAAUAAAUCCUAGCUCUUGCCGCUCGAUCAAUACGAGAUAAAACCUUAUCAGGGCAUGUCCUUCUCCAAGGAACUGAACGAGACAUAUCUUUGUUAUUUACAUUUUGAUAAAAUUCAUUGAAUCUUUAUGAAAAUAUAUGAAAAAUUGAAAACAGCCAAAUUUACACUGCCAAGUGCCAAAGAUAAUUUUCAAAAUGGCGCAUUUUCUCGUUGACAUGGCAACCAUUUUGUAACCUGCGAUCAGGUGAUCAGGCUGACAUUUCAAUGGGUCACAAAAUGUAUAUAGAUUCCGAUCUCUGGAUUCCGA